ACUCCUGCGGGAGGCAGCAGUGGGGAAUUUUGGACAAUGGGGGCAACCCUGAUCCAGCAAUGCCGCGUGAGUGAAGAAGGCCUUCGGGUUGUAAAGCUCUUUUGUCAGGGAAGAAACGGUGGUGGCGAAUAACUACUACUAAUGACGGUACCUGAAGAAUAAGCACCGGCUAACUACGUGCCAGCAGCCGCGGUAAUACGUAGGGUGCAAGCGUUAAUCGGAAUUACUGGGCGUAAAGCGUGCGCAGGCGGUUGUGUAAGUCAGAUGUGAAAUCCCCGGGCUCAACCUGGGAAUUGCAUUUGAGACUGCACGGCUAGAGUGUGUCAGAGGGGGGUAGAAUUCCACGUGUAGCAGUGAAAUGCGUAGAUAUGUGGAGGAAUACCGAUGGCGAAGGCAGCCCCCUGGGAUAACACUGACGCUCAUGCACGAAAGCGUGGGGAGCAAACAGGAUUAGAUACCCUAGUAUCCCAUG
rnacentral:rRNA from 1 species